rnacentral:ncRNA from 2 species
GCGCCUCACCAGGGGAGUCCCGGCAAGGGGCUGAGAUACUGCUAUAGCGCGCAGUGACCCGUUGAACCUGAUCCAGUUCAUACUGGCGUAGGGACGGUGCGAGGCUUCGCGG